CAGACUCACUUUUCUCGAGCUCUCUGCUGCCCUGUAAUCAUCUGUAUGUCUGUCUGGGGUGCAGGUACAAGUGGCUCAAGGACUCAUCUUGUUUACUACUGUACCUUGGGCCUGGCCCUGUGCCUGGGAGGUGAUAGUGACUGGCUCUAGCCGGACAGGGCAUUUGAGGGCAGACUCCGGAAGCGGAGGUGAUUCUACCAAAGUGUCCAGUAAAGCAGAGUGCUGCCCUCAUUCAUGGUGUGGAGGUAAAGAUGAGUAAAGGCAUCCUGCACUUCAGAUGCCACUGUUGAAAAUCCAUCUCUCCAUCCAAGGAUAAGAGAGGAGGCGAAGAUUUGAAUUGGCCCCAACUAAUGAAACCUCCACUGCUCCCUGUGCAGAAAUGUGCAAGUUGCUGACUCACAAGUUCACCUUCCAGCCCUCUGCCCUUCAGUCACUUCCAUCAAAUCAUUUCAGCAAAUACCUUCUGCUGCCAAACGUGCAAGAUAGAAAAUGCACUCUAGUGUGGGUCGAAUUGAGUCCCCAAGAAAGAUAUAUAUUGAAGUCCAGUACCUGUCAACACGACCUUAUUUGGAAAUUGAACAUUUGCAGAUGUAAUUAGUUAAGACAAGUGGAUCUUGAUCCAAGGACUGGUGUCCUUAUAAGAAGACUUAACAGAGUCACAAGGACACACCAGAGAUUGCCAUGUGAGGAGGGAAGUAGAGAUUGGAAUGGUGCAUCUGCAAGCCACAGACCUGGGGGGGGGGGGGAUGUCUGCAGUCACCAGACACUAAGGAGAGGAAAGGAAGCCCCUCCCCUAGAGCCUUCAGAGGGAACCAGCCAUGCUGGCACCUCAAUCAGCUUCCAGCUUCCAGAGCUACGAGUGAACUUCUGUUGUUAUGGCAGUUACGAAACUAACACACACUUUACUCCUGGCCCUGCUGCUGCCAACCCCCAACCCUGGCUGCUUGUCCUCUCUGCAGACAGGCUCAGUCACCCUGAUCCUCUGCCCUGCUUGGGAUGUCAAGGACAACAGAAUCUCAAUUUUGGUUUACAAAGUGAGGAAUGAGCCUAAGAAGAAAA